AAUUAUUAAUUUAAUUAUUAUUAAUUUUUAUUUAUUUAUUAGAAAUAUCUAUUAUUUUAGUAUUUAUUGAAAUAAUUAUUUUUAUUUUUUAGUACUGUAGAGGAUUAUUUAAUUUUUAAGGAAGUAUUUUUUAUAGGAGUACCUUUUGUAUCAGGGUUGAUUAAUUUAUUUUUAAUUAUUUAAAUAUCCCGAAUUUAAAGAAGUUAAAAUAUUAUAAAUUUAAUGUUAUAAAAUUAUUAUUAAUAAUAUUUUGGUAAUGAUAAGUUAUUCGUUUUUAAUUAUCUGGUUUUUCAAGAAUUGAAUUUAAUUCAGAAUAUAUCUUAAUACUUUACAUUUAAUUAUAACUUAUUAAGAUAUAUUUAAUAAGUUAGGGGAUAAGCUCUUUCUUUUUCUAUAAUUUAUAUUAUUUAUAAAUUUAAUAGGCUUAGAAGCGGCCAUUUAAAAGUUCGUUAUAGAUUUUUUUUUGUUAUUUUUUAUUUUUUAUUUUUUAGUUGUUUAUUGAAUUUAUUUAAUAAAUAAAUUAUUAAAUUAAUAAUGAUUAAAUUAGUAUGAAUUUAUUUGAUUUAUAGGAAUUUGGCUUUUAUUUAUCUUGCCUGUUUAAUAAAAACAUGUCCUUUGGAUAUUUAUAUAAGGUUUAACCUGCUCUAUGAACUUUUAAAUGGCCGCGGUAUUUUAACUGUGCUAAGGUAGCAUAAUAAAUUGUCUUUUAAUUGGGGACUAGUAUGAAUGGUUGAACAAAGAUAAAACUUUCUUUAUUUCAAUAUUUAAAAUUUAACUUUUGAGUUAAAAGGCUUAAAUGUUAAAAAGGGACGAGAAGACCCCUUAGAUCUUUAUUACUUUAAUUUAUUGUAAUUUUUAGUUAAUUUUUUAUAUAUUUAUUUUAAUUAAUUUGGUUGGGGUGAUUAUAGAAUAAAAAUAACUUCUAUUAUAUAUUUUCAUUGAUUUAUGUUUUUUUGAUCCAUUUUUGAUGAAUUUAAGAUUAAGAUACCUAGGGGAUAACAGCGUUAUUUUAUCGGAGAGUUCUUAUCGAUGAUGAAGUUUGCGACCUCGAUGUUGGAUUAAAAUAAUUUAUGGGAGUAGAGUCUUAUUUAAUAGGUCUGUUCGACCUUUAAAAUUUUACAUGAUCUGAGUUUAGACCGGCGUGAGCCAGGUCAGUUUCUAUCUUUUUUAAUUAUCUUUUUUUUAGUACGAAAGGACCAAAAAGAGGAAUACUUUUUUAUCAAUGAAUAUAAUU
rnacentral:rRNA from 1 species